rnacentral:rRNA from 1 species
GACGAACGCUGGCGGCGUGCUUAACACAUGCAAGUCGAACGGAACUUCUUGGAUAGAGGCUUCGGCCAAUUGAAUUGAAGUUUAGUGGCGGACUGGUGAGUAACGCGUGAGGAACCUGCCUUUCAGAGGGGGACGAACAGUUGGAAACGACUGCUAAUACCGCAUGACACAUUUGGGUCGCAUGGCUCGGAUGUCAAAGAUUUAUCGCUGAAAGAUGGCCUCGCGUCUGAUUAGCUAGUUGGUGGGGUAACGGCCCACCAAGGCGACGAUCAGUAGCCGGACUGAGAGGUUGACCGGCCACAUUGGGACUGAGAUACGGCCCAG